CCUACGGGGGGCAGCAGUGGGGAAUAUUGGACAAUGGGCGAAAGCCUGAUCCAGCCAUGCCGCGUGUGUGAAGAAGGCCUUCGGGUUGUAAAGCACUUUCAGUGGGGAAGAAAGCCUUGGGGCUAAUACCCUCGAGGAAGGACAUCACCCACAGAAGAAGCACCGGCUAACUCCGUGCCAGCAGCCGCGGUAAUACGGAGGGUGCGAGCGUUAAUCGGAAUUACUGGGCGUAAAGCGCGCGUAGGCGGUCUGAUAAGCCGGUUGUGAAAGCCCCGGACUCAACCUGGGAACGGCAUCCGGAACUGUCAGGCUAGAGUGCAGGAGAGGAAGGUAGAAUUCCCGGUGUAGCGGUGAAAUGCGUAGAGAUCGGGAGGAAUACCAGUGGCGAAGGCGGCCUUCUGGACUGACACUGACGCUGAGGUGCGAAAGCGUGGGUAGCAAACAGGAUUAGAUACCCGAGUGGUC
rnacentral:rRNA from 1 species